CAAGAAAUAAAUAGUCCUCAGUCUUGAGUAGAAGAAGUCAAGUAGAAUGAAGAUUCCCGCUGGUUUGGCAACUGGAAGUCAUUGGCUGUCAUUGAGGCAACUUCAUGUACUGCUUGUGAUGCAUGACUCCCGACACACAGACCGAGUGAAGGAGCCAACAUCGAUUCAUGUGCUUGAACUUCUUAGGAUGGAGACCCUGGGUCCUUCACUCGGCAUUCCACCCUCAGACCGGCCUGCGUGUCAAUAUCUUUCUGCAACCGGGUUGUCUGGACCAAGGAGAACUUUGCGAAGAUCUCCAGGAGCUUAAUUGCUGUGUCACUCUGUUCCCCUUUUCUGUCUGUUAUAUUUAGGCAGCCUUCAAUCCACCAAUAAUCCUAGUUGCAUGAUUUUAUAUCAAACCAUUUUUCAAGUUAUUCUCAUUUUUUCCCUGUAAAUCUAAGCAUUACUGUGUAAUGAGUAUUAUCUUUGUUAGCAGGUGAGAGACUUCCCUCUACUGGGCAGAUACACAACUGCUGCCCACGCUUAGAAUGAAGAAUACUAG
rnacentral:lncRNA from 1 species